GGCUUGGUAGCGGAUGGUCCGUAUCUGCCUCACAUAACCAGUAAUCGCCUGGAUUUGAGUACACAGAUUCCGCCUGUUCGACUCAGGCCCGAGCCA